CAGCCGUAAACUAUGCGCGUUAGGUGUACUGGUGACCACGAGUCACCGGGGUGCCGAAGGGAAACCGUGAAACGUGCCGCCUGGGAAGUACGGUCGCAAGGCUGAAACUUAAAGGAAUUAGCGGGGGAGCACCACAACGGGUGGAGCCUGCGGUUUAAUUGGACUCAACGCCGGAAAUCUCACCGGAUAGGACAGACAUAUGAUAGUCGGGCUGAAGACUCUACUUGAUGAUCUGAGAGGAGGUGCAUGGCGUCAGUGACU
rnacentral:rRNA from 1 species